rnacentral:rRNA from 1 species
AUUGAACGCUGGCGGCAUGCUUUACACAUGCAAGUCGAACGGCAGCGAGGAGAAGCUUGCUUCUCUGUCGGCGAGUGGCGGACGGGUGAGUAUAGCAUCGGAACGUGCCAAGUAGUGGGGGAUAACCAAACGAAAGUUUGGCUAAUACCGCGUAAGCUCUAAGGAGGAAAGUAGGGGACCUAAAUAAGGCCUUACGCUAUUUGAUCGGCCGAUGUCGGAUUAGCUAGUUGGUGGGGUAAUGGCUCACCAAGGCAAUGAUCCGUAGCGGGUCUGAGAGGACGAUCCGCCACACUGGGACUGAGACACGGCCCAGACUCCUACGGGAGGCAGCAGUGGGGAAUUUUGGACAAUGGGGGAAACCCUGAUCCAGCCAUGCCGCGUGUAUGAAGAAGGCCUUAGGGUUGUAAAGUACUUUUGUUAGGGAAGAAAAGCUAGUUUUUAAUAAAAAGUAGUGAUGACGGUACCUAAAGAAUAAGCACCGGCUAACUACGUG